UGAGUCUGUGAGAGUGAGUUAAAACUAUUUACAGGAGUUCCCAGGGAGGCCGGCCAAGAGCAGGGAUUUUGUCAUGCAGUAUCACUGGGAAGCAAAGCUCUGGGAGAAGCUAAAACUUGUUCAUUUGGGUGCGUGGGGCUGGAGCUGUCAGAGGUGAGUCUGAUGGAGGUGAGCACAGGAGAUCAGCCAGUGUUGGUCAGGAAACACCUUCCUUGUGCCUCGGGUAGGCUGCACUCAUGGCCACAAGGUCAUGUUACCCAGGAGAAGAUUUUUGCUUCAGAGUACCUGUGGGUGGAAUCGUGUGGCUUAGAAUUUGCUGCUGUAAUCUUCUCCUCACCCCUUCCUGUGAGCAUCAAGAGAGCAACUGUAGCACAAAUCCAGGGGAGAAGAGGUCUGGUUAUUGUGACCUUUUCCCCUGUUUUGGUAAGACUGAAGAAGUCCAUCAUGAGUCUGCUGAAAUUUAUGCACUCUACAGGCUUUUUCCUGCAGAAUGUUUUUUCAAAUGAAAGGGCAGAAGGAAGAGAACUGAUCUUUGGAAGAAAAAAAUGCUCUCCAUCUUCAUAGCAAAAAGGAUCAAUGCUGAAAUACAUAAGAAGAGAGGCUGUCCUGGAAAAGUGAGAAAGAGUGUGCAGAAAGAAACUAUGCCCAGAUGAAUCCACUGUGCCCUGUUUGGCAUAAAACAUAGGAGAAGCACAAAGGAGAUAUCAAUAUUUUGCUUCUGCUUUUUUUAAAGGAAAUAAAAUCCUAAUGAAAUAGAAC
rnacentral:lncRNA from 13 species